rnacentral:rRNA from 1 species
UACGUAGGGUGCAAGCGUUGUCCGGAAUUAUUGGGCGUAAAGAGCUCGUAGGCGGUCUGUCGCGUCUGCUGUGAAAACUCGGGGCUUAACCCCGGGCCUGCAGUGGGUACGGGCAGACUAGAGUGCGGUAGGGGAGACUGGAAUUCCUGGUGUAGCGGUGAAAUGCGCAGAUAUCAGGAGGAACACCGGUGGCGAAGGCGGUUCUCUGGGCAUUACCUGACGCUGAGGAGCGAAAGCGUGGGUAGCAAACAGG